GCGUCAGCGUCCAGAGCGGCUCUUGGCGUGCUCGUUGCAGGAGGACCCUGUGUUGAGGAGUUCUCAGGCAACACUCUGUGCCCUGGAAAGGGAAUCUUUUUCUUUUGCCUGCCGUUGUACGAGUCUGUGGACUCGUGUAGGCAUCCUUUUGUUUUCCCCUACGGUUGUAGGGUUUGCAGACACGUACAGGUGUCUUUGCUUUUUCUUUUUUCGUUCUACGAACUGCAGACUUGUGCAGGUGUCUUUUGGUUUUUCUUUUCUUAUACAGUCAGCGGAUUGCUGCGUGUGCCUUUUUUUUUCUCUUUUCCUUGCACAAUCUGUGCAAGUGGGAUUUUUUUCAUUUGUGUUUUCUGGCCUGCGGACUCGAGCAGCCCUGCUGAAACAAUGGAGCAAUUCCGCAGUGCUGUCAGCAGGGCUUUUGCGUCAGUGUCAUCCUGCAAAAUGUUCAAAGGCCUGAGACGUUGUCUCAAACGUGGAAGGAAUCAAGUCCGUGGUUUGAGCAGCACACCAGCAGCAGAACCUCCUGUGGCUCGCCCUGUGCCUCCAGAGGCUGAAGGGGAGGCAAAGGAUAACAAUCCCGCCCGUGUUGUCAGUCCAGGGCCUGAGCAUCCUGAACCAGUAAGUGCUAGCUUUGGUUGCUCCAGUGCAAAGCUUUGGUGCAGUGCAGGGCUGCAAGUUCCUGAUCAGGCAGCGCUGGCCCUUUGUGGCUGAAGAUGCUGAGGCCUGGAGUCCUGCCACGACCUGGCUCUUCAGCCCAGCCACUGACACCUGGGAAUUGG